CUGCAGGCUACUGGUCUUUGUUUACAUAUGGAUUAACAUAAUACAAACCAGUAAAUGAUCACAAGAAGAGAUAACAUGCUGUACUGCAAAUGACUGAUGAAGAAUGCAAUUCAGUGCCAGCUGCUGCCACCAUCAACUGUCAUCAUUG